GGACGAACGCCGGCGGCGUGCUUAACACAUGCAAGUCGAGCGGUAAGGCCCUUUCGGGGUACACGAGCGGCGAACGGUGAGUAACACGUGGGUGACCUGCCCUUAGCUCUCGGGAUAAGCCUGGGAAACUGGGUCUAAUACCGGAUAUGACUCCAUAACGCAUGUUGUGGGGUGGAAAGCCUUGUGCGGCUAGGGAUGGGCCCGCGGCCUAUCAGCUUGUUGGUGGGGUGAUGGCCACCAAGGCGACGACGGGUAGCCGGCCUGAGAGGGCGACCGGCCACACUGGGACCGAGACACGGCCCAGACUCCUACGGGAGGCAGCAGUGGGGAAUCUUGCGCAAUGGCGAAAGCCUGACGCAGCGACGCCGCGU
rnacentral:rRNA from 1 species